GAAAUGCGAUACGCAAUGCGAAUUGCAGAAUUCCGCGAGUCAUCAGAUCUUUGAACGCAACUGGCGCUGGUGUAACAACCAGUAUGUUUGUUUCAGUGUGUUAAGGAAUCCUACAUCUCAAUGCGAUUGAUUUUUAAUUUUUGAAAAAACAACAAAAAUUAAUUAUCUCUCGUUAAACUUGGAGGGCGUUCAAGAAAGCUCCCCUCCCAUCGAAGUAGUCAGGUUAUUUAUACAUCUGAUCUCGUUGGGAAUUCAAAUGGGAAUUUCUUAAUAAUAAAAACUCCUUCAAAUAAAAUACAACCCCAAAACGACACCUGAAAUCAAGCAAGAAUACCCGCUGAACUUAA
rnacentral:misc_RNA from 1 species